UUACACCGUGGGCUCCUACGACAGCUUUGAUGCCUCAAGUGACUGCGUGGUGGAUGAGAAGACCGUGGUGCUCCAGAAGAAGGAGAACGAGGGCUUCGGCUUCGUCCUGCGAGGGGCUAAAGCUGACACACCCAUUGAGGAGUUUACACCAACACCGGCCUUCCCAGCGCUGCAGUACCUGGAGUCAGUGGAUGAGGGUGGGGUGGCAUGGCAGGCG